rnacentral:rRNA from 1 species
UACGGAGGAUCCAAGCGUUAUCCGGAUUUAUUGGGUUUAAAGGGUGCGUAGGCGGCCUAUUAAGUCAGGGGUGAAAGACGGUAGCUUAACUAUCGCAGUGCCUUUGAUACUGAUGGGCUUGAAUGAACUAGAGGUAGGCGGAAUGUGACAAGUAGCGGUGAAAUGCAUAGAUAUGUCACAGAACACCAAUUGCGAAGGCAGCUUACUAUGGUUUUAUUGGCGCUGAGGCACGAAAGCGUGGGGAUCAAACAGG